GGAUUAGAUACCCUGGUAGUCCACGCCGUAAACGAUGUCUACUAGCCGUUGGGACUCUUGAAGUCUUAGUGGCGCAGUUAACGCACUAAGUAGACCGCCUGGGGAGUACGGCCGCAAGGUUAAAACUCAAAUGAAUUGACGGGGGCCCGCACAAGCGGUGGAGCAUGUGGUUUAAUUCGACGCAACGCGAAGAACCUUACCUGGCCUUGACAUGUUGGGAACUUUCCAGAGAUGGAUUGGUGCCUUCGGGAACCCAAACACAGGUGCUGCAUGGCCGUCGUCAGCUCGUGCCG
rnacentral:rRNA from 1 species